AGUGAACGCUGGCGGUAGGCCUAACACAUGCAAGUCGAACGGCAGCACAGUAAGAGCUUGCUCUUACGGGUGGCGAGUGGCGGACGGGUGAGGAAUACAUCGGAAUCUACUUUUUCGUGGGGGAGAACGUAGGGAAACUUACGCUAAUACCGCAUACGACCUACGGGUGAAAGCAGGGGAUCUUCGGACCUUGCGCGAUUGAAUGAGCCGAUGUCGGAUUAGCUAGUUGGCGGGUAAAGGCCCACCAAGGCGACGAUCCGUAGCUGGUCUGAGAGGAUGAUCAGCCACACUGGAACUGAGACACGGUCCAGACUCCUACGGGAGGCAGCAGUGGGGAAUAUUGGACAAUGGGCGCAAGCCUGAUCCAGCCAUACCGCGUGGGUGAAGAAGGCCUUCGGGUUGUAAAGCCCUUUUGUUGGGAAAGAAAAGCAGCAGGUUAAUACCCCGCUGUUCUGACGGUACCCAAAGAAUAAGCACCGGCUAACUUCGUG
rnacentral:rRNA from 1 species